rnacentral:sRNA from 2 species
UGAAUGGAUGGCUAGGGUUCCGGCUCCUGUGAGCGACUGGUCCAAGAGCCAUCGACCUUGAACGACCCGGGCGGAUCCGGGGAAGGUUGGGGUUACACGGCGGGAUAAAAGCCCGGGAGAC